rnacentral:tRNA from 1 species
ACUUCUGUAGUCCAAUUGGCAGAGACAUUCGAUUUAAGCUCGAAGCAGUUUGGGUUCAACUCCCAACAGAAGUA